UACAGAGGGUGCGAGCGUUUAAUCGGAAUUACUGGGCGUAAAGCGUGCGUAGGUGGUUGUUAAGUCUGUUGUGAAAGCCCCGGGCUCAACCUGGGAAUGGCAAUGGAUACUGGCAGGCUAGAGUGCGGUAGAGGGUAGUGGAAUUCCGGUGUAGCGGUGAAAUGCGUAGAGAUCGGGAGGAACACCAGUGGCGAAGGCGGCUACCUGGACCAGCACUGACACUGAGGCACGAAAGCGUGGGGAGCAAACAGG
rnacentral:rRNA from 1 species